GUGGCAAAAGGAGGGUAUGGCAAACUUGGAGCACUGGUCUGAGAGCUGAGUGGAGGUGCCAAUCAUGGUGAAGGCAGCUGUUGGUUGCUCACAUCCCAAUUAGAACUGGACAAUAUAGCUGCUGAUGAAUACAAUAUGACAGCUUCAUUGUAAACUAAAUAAAAUGUGGAGAAAAACACACAGAAAGGAAGCAAUGCUCACAAUAACUAGAGUUAUACGGAGCAGGAAAACUGAACGCUUGAAAAACUGACACUGAAAAUAAACUGUCACAGGUGAGGCAAGGAUUUACCAAGGACAAACCAUCAAAUAGAAACCCCUUGGGACUCCUGGUUGAACUGAAGCAAAAUAUUGAGGACUUGGAAUGAAGAAUGAGACUCAACGUAGAUACUGCGGUUGCCAAUGAAGCGGGCACAGGCAAUACCCCGGUACGGCUGGCAAAAGCCCUUCUCGUAUGUUCUGUUGAAACACCAACAUUAGGAGACAUGCGGUAAGUCUAUGAAUCACAAUGAUUGCUACACCCACUGUUUACUUUAUAAAGCUACCUUAGAGAGAUUAAUUUAUAACAUCAAACUUCAACAAAGUAACACUUCACAUUAAGGUUACAU